AGCUAGUGUUGCAGUGGUUUGAACACUGGAUGAUGACUCUGGAGACCAGGGUUCAAAUCCCUGCUCAGCCA